UACGUAGGGGGCAAGCGUUGUCCGGAUUUAUUGGGCGUAAAGAGCGUGUAGGCGGCCAGGUAGGUCUGGUGUGAAACUCGAGGCUCAACCUCGAGAGGUCAUCGGAAACCAUCUGGCUAGAGUCCGGAAGAGGAGAGUGGAAUUCCUGGUGUAGCGGUGAAAUGCGCAGAUAUCAGGAAGAACACCCGUGGCGAAAGCGGCUCUCUGGAACGGUACUGACGCUGAGACGCGAAAGCGUGGGAGCGAACAGG
rnacentral:rRNA from 1 species